rnacentral:rRNA from 1 species
UACGAGGGCUCCAAGCGUUAUCCGGAUUUAUUGGGCGUAAAGGGUCUGUAGGCGGUUUUUCGCAUCUCCUGUUAAAGCCCGAGGCUUAACCUCGGAACAGCGGGAGAGAUGGAUAAACUAGAGACUGGGAGAGGCAAGCGGAAUUGCUGGUGUAGGGGUUAAAUCCGUUAAUAUCAGCAGGAACACCGGAUGCGAAAGCAGCUUGCUGGAACAGUUCUGACGCUAAAAGACGAAAGCGUGGGUAG